GGAAAAGCUAAAUGUCAUUAACAAAGGAAAAAGUAAGCCCUUAUGUGUAAUUCUUAUGUUUGCAAAAAGUCAGUGCAGCCAAGAUAUGAAAUGUAGCCAUUUGUCAUCAGGUGCUGUUUUUCAUUUGCAUUGUAUUUUCCAGUUAACACUCCUCUCUCCAGCAUCUGAUUUCAUAGCAGGGAGAGCUAACAUUCCUAAGGACACAGGCAGUGGGAGCCAUGGGAUUUCUGCAAAAUCCUCACUAAUGUUGAAGGAAGAGACUAUCUUGGGAACACAGCCCCAUUUCUUGUCUUUGCUCAUAUCCAGAGACAACCGUGGUAAAACCUGCAGCCACACGUGCCCACAAAGAGCACGUUCUGUCUGACAUUUCAAGCCUUGCGUGAGGAUCCCAAACCAGCUUGUGUUUCAGCUGGGAGUGGAGCAGAACAGUACCAGAGCUGCUUAGCCAUGAACCAGGGAAACGUCAGCGCUAAACUCUACUUCAGAAUGGUCUAGGAUUCAGCAGAGCCGGCAGUGACAUUGGUGAAGCUGAUGGCUGAGGCCAACUGUGCACAUCUUAGAGGAAAUUUCAGCAGAAAUGAAUGGUGGUGAUGAAAGGUUAAUGGCAAGCAUUGGCACCACAGCCAUUUCCAGAAUACUCCAUCUCUCCCUCAAGCUCAGAAGUAUGCUUGUUGCAAAUUUGGCCAGGUGAUCAUGGGCACAUGGUAAGCAAAAUGAAGAAGUCUGAGUGGGACGGUUGUGAGAGAAUCUGUUCUUUUCUAGCAUGAAUAAAAUGCAAGCAACUCCUGGACUUGCCUGGAGCUUGCUUUGUCCGCUCUCUAGCUGUAAACAGUAAUUAAAACCUUGAGCUGUCGAAUCUGUUUUGUGACACUGUGGCUCGCUGUUUUGCAUCAAGUUUUAGUAUGAAAAGUCUCCUUGCUCUGUCUGCUCCUGGGCAACAGGCAGCACUUUUUCAUCUCUCUGAGGAUUUGGGAGGAGGACUUGUUGGAGGCAGCAAUGCCAUCUUGCUGCUUCUUCAUGACAUUUAAAGGCUUGAAGCAGAAAACCUGAGAUGAUACGAAAAAAGCAAAAGAAACAGGCACCUGUGAAAGAUUCCAUAAGCAGUAAUUUGAAAAGAUCUUCAUUCAAACAGAAAACAUUCUAUCUAAGUGCAUUCCAAAGACAGAGUGCGGAGCCUUACUGAGAGCCAGAUUGAGAGAAAUACAAAAACUAAAAACUACCUUUGUGGAAUCAAAAAGGGUAUUUGAGGACCUGCAACAUAAUGCACUGGAACAUAAAAUGUAAGACUUUUCCCGUUUGAGUAAAUUUUUAUAUUGUUGAUUUUUUGCGAAGUUAAAUUACAGCUACAUAAAGGGAUUUUUAUAUAUACUGAAAAUUAACUUUAUGUUAUGCACAAGUUGCAUUUCUACUUCAUAUCUACUUCUACUGGAAUGCCAGUUCCUAUAAAAUCUAUCUGAUCUUUCUACCUGAAUCAGAAACGUCACCACUUUUAGGGUAUUAAAAGAAAUGGUUCCUUUGUAAAUGGUAGAGCAUCUUACAGUAUUUAAAAAGUACAAUAAUGAGACUCAGACACAAACUAAGUUGCCAUAAACAGGCUUAUUUUUCUGCACUUAGUGUGGCAUUUUCCAGUAAUAGCAUUUUCUACAACAAAAGUGAGAAUUCAGUUUUGCUCAAAGAAAUAAUCACCUUAGCUUUUCAAUGUGCACAUUUUUAUCUGUCAGUUGUGUAACACCAACAUGGAUAUAUAACGUAAUUUAGAGUGUCUUGAGCUGGAAUUUAAAAUAGCUACAGACCAAGAUUUGAUAUUGGAAAUACAAACAAUGUGUAUGCAAAUAUCACACUGGAAAAGCAUGUGUAUCUGUUUUGCAUGUCACCUAAUAGAAAGCCUAUUCGUUAAGGCUUUCAAAUAAAAUUGAGUUAAACCACAGAUGUGCUUAAAGCACAAAGGUUUUUCUUUCCACUGUCCAUCUUAUUUGUACUUUAAACUGAUGCUGAAUACAAAUUCUGAACACUUCUAAAUCCCUGGAAAUGUAUUUUGGAAUAUCCAUCAAAUGCAGGGCUGGGAUCUAAAAAAUUAGUGAUUGCAUAGUGGGACACAGGGGGUAUUUCUAUAUGUUCCUGUGUAUGCAUGAGCUCUCCGCCAUUCGUAGCAGCCGUUUGAUGAUGAAUGUCUUACUAAGAAGGGAAGUUCUACGCUUAUUCAAAUCAUUAUUUUGAAAUAAGUAAAGCAUAAAAAUAAGGACUCCUAACCUCAUAGGUUUGCCAUUAAUUUAAUUAAAAAAUGACAUGCUAUAAAAAAAAAAUAAAAUCAAUUGUAAAGAGGAGAAACAGGAAAAAUAUUUUUAAAUGCUCCAGGUCCCAUGCAUUACUUGCAUUGCACAACAUCACUCAUGAGCCACUCAGUAAAAUUUGACUUACUUUGGAGAAGGAGUCAACCGACGAAGCAUUUUAGAGUCCUGAGGAUUUAUAAUGUCAGCGUUACAAGCCCUUCUGAGAAUAGAUAACAAUUCUGUUAACACAAACGCAAAGGCUACUUUUCUGCUUAAAAGUUAUGAUACCAGCAUCCACUUAUUAAAUGCUUGAAUGUGUCUUAUGCCACAUCCAUAUUACUUGCUUAUAAAUUGACUAUUUCUUAAUAUGAGACGAUAUAAAAAUACUGUCACAAUCUCCUGUGUGAAUUCAAACUUUAUAGAAAAUACUUUCGUUUACCUCAUUGCUUUCACUUAAAAGAAAAAGCAUCACACUACUUUAGGUAUCCAGAAUCCUGGUGUGUCCAUGCACAGUGUUUUAUGACAUCUGCAUUUUACAGGAAGAGGGGGAGGAACAACACAGUUUUUACAUUAACAUAGAUAUACUAGAGAAGUGCCAUUAUUGAGUUAGCUACCUACUCCUGUCCAUUCAUGAAUGAAUAAUGUUAGAAUUAACAUGAGCUAUAGUGCAUUAUUUAUUAUUUCUCUGGGUUUGAUGCUUAGCAGAGGUGCUAAAGGUCUAAUGCCUUUUAAAUGUAAUUCAUUUCCCUUUUUAAUAUGUUUUGCUUGCUAAAAGAGACACUUCAAUUUUCCUUUGCUAUUGGUAUUUUGGGAAAAUCUUUCUUAAAUUAGAGUAAUAUUGAAAUUAUUUCAAGUUAAUAGUUAAAUAAAUAGAACAAUUAAUUCAAAGCAUGCAAUUAUUUAGUUUUAAGGAAUAGACCCUGAAGUAAACUUGAAAUGUGUCUAUUUGGUUAUAACCUGUACCUGUACCAUGAAAGUGAAAACAAAAUUAUGCUCUUAUGCUCAUUUUCUCUAAUAUUUAUUUCUGAAGGUUCAAGAAUUGCUAGCAAGAAAGCAUCCAGACUGAAAGCCUGGCACUACUGAAGUAAUAGGAGUUUCAUUCACAGUAGCACAACCCCUUCAGUGAUUGUUUGUUCUUGUUUAAACAAGAUUCUUAUUUAUGCUGUUAAAGACUGAAGAUUAAUAUUUUAUGAUUCAUAAUACAUGUUGUUGAAGCUUGGUGAAGCAGGCAGUAAAACAGACACUUCCUAAGAAGCAUUUUCAGCACAAGCAAAAUUGCCCAGACAUUGCUCAAAAGAGGCUGUCCAAAUGGGCCCGAACAGUCGAGUGAUCUGUAUAGAAAUUAAGAGUAUUAGUUACAAGCUGGGAAAACACCCUUUCUAAUUGUAAAAAUAUAGCUGUUGUGUGUCAAGGGCAAAUUAAACAGAGAAAGCCUCCAGAAUCUUACAAACCACUGUGAGAAUGCUUUCUCACCUGUGGGUAUAUCUGAUUAUCGGUCUUAAGUUAUGAGGCUUUUUGGCAAGGUAUGCAAAUUCCUGCAAUGAAUUCAGUCUACUAAAAGCAAGCUGUUGGCUAGUGCUCUUGGCAAGCUUAGGGUUUGCAAUGAGCCUUCUGCAAAAAAUGUUUCGAUCCUUAAUCAUUUUGGAGAACAAUUGCUUCCUCAGGGCUUCUGUCUGCAAUGUGAGUUGACGUGUUUCUUCUGUUGAGAUGCUAUGUGAUGUGUCCCAGUUAAACACCUUAAUUUGGAAUGGAGUAUUAAUUUAUUCUUUGAAUUUGUUAACUACAUUUUCAAGGGUUUUCACAAUACCUCUGAAGUUCCCUAUGCAUCUCCACGUAACUUCCCAAACUGCAACUUUCCAGAGUCCAAAGAAUAUCCUAAUCAGGAUCAUAGAAUCAUAGAGUCAUAGAAUGGUUUGGGUUGGAAGGGACCCUUAAGAUCAUCUAGUACCAAUCUCCCUGCUAUAGGCAGGGACAUCUCCCUCUAGACCAGUUUACUCAAAGCCCCAUCCAGCCUGGCCUUGCAUGCUUCCAGGGAGGGGGCCCAAUCACUAAAAGAAAACUCCCAAACAACCCAAAUUACAAGUACGUAGCCUGCAGUGGACACAAAAAGGUAGGCAGUGCUAGAAGGAUCUUCUUUCUCUGAAUAUUUAUAAGGAUGUUUAAUGAUAAACAAGAUGAACAAGAUGAAGAGUCACCACACCCUCAAGUUUUCUUCAGAUAAUGAAUUAACAGGUACUGUGGUGCACUUUAUUCUUAACGUCAUUAUUAACAAGCAUUCCAGACAUCAAUAGAUAUUGUGAAAUUCAACCAUUGCAAUUGUAUAUGUUGCCUUGCAAAGGCAUCUAGGUGGUUAUGUGGGCUAAGCGAUGAGACUGACUGGCCUUGGUGGGCUGCUCCUCCUGUGUGCAAGCAUCACAAGCUCCUCCUGCACUGCCUUCAGUCUUUGCUGGUGAAUAGAACACAGGCAUUUUUCAGCUUGAAAUCUCUUUUAGGAUCUCAAUAUCCUUUUAUUUUUCUUUGUUGUCAUGUUUACCAUUACCAUUAGAAGAUGGUACAUACAUUAUCAGUUACGAAAUGUGGUGAAAAAUCCAUACCAAGAAUAAUCUGAAACUUUCUUCUGUAGAAGGGGGUACAAGAAUAGCACAUUUUCUAUCCACUAAAUCCCUGCUAAUUUUGGGAAUUUCAGCUGAUCACAAAGGAUUGUGAAGGAAAAGAACAGCAAUAGUAGCAGCUUAGAUCUGGACAGCUUCUUCCUCCAUUUUAAAAUGAACAAAGCUUAGACCCACAGUAACUUUAUUUAACUCCUGUUUAUUCUAGUGGUAAUUAUAAAAUUAAGUAAGGAGUAGACAAUGAAUGUGUGUUAGGAAACUUGGUCUAUGUGGUUUGAGUGGGAUUGUGUUGAAACUUGUUCUCUAAGCCUUUUAAAUGUCUCUCACCUAAAACCUUAAGGUAAAGUAUGAAACUGUAAUGAACAAAUAAAGAAAUUAAAACUAUCUAAUUAAUUAAACUCAUGGAAAAUUAGUAUUAAAAUUGCAUUCCUUGCAGUACUCAGACUAUUAUUUACAGCUAUUUUUUUUUAAUUUCAUAUCAAAACUAUAAAUGGCUUUAAUAGCAAAGACACUUCAGAAAAUGCACUUUCUAUAAACCAUUUUAAUUUUGCUAUUGCACUGAAGUGAAGGCACACAAUUAGAUUAUUAUUAUCAUUAUUAUGUGUGAAAAUCCAUGUGACCAUUUCUGUGUGCUUAUGAUUUUUUCCCCUGACAUUUUGGAAGUGCAGAAUGCUUACAGAUUUCCAGCUGCCCCAGUAUAAAGCAAGUGAGCAACCAAAGCCACACUCUGAGUUAAAAAAAAUAAAUGACCUUGUAGUCAACACUCAUUAACCAAUCAACCAAACAAACAAAGCAGGGACAAAACAGCAGAAGGCUGCAGUCAGCAUCCUAAAGCAUAUUUGUGUCCUGCAUCUUGUCAUGAUUGAUGCUCUGCACUCAUGGCACUUGACAAACAUUGUUUUGCAGGUAGUUAGCAUGAUGACAAAUUAACAAAUGAAAUAAAUGGAUUACAAAGCAUUUACGCAGUCAUUUAUGCCUUUUUCACAUCCAGCCUGGAUUACUACAGAGUGAUCAGAGGCUACUUACGAAGCGAUAUAUAAGCUUUACAAGGUGCAACAUGCAGCAGGGUGAUUAAUGCAGAAGGAUUAAUGAACAUAAUUUUGAAUCAGUAGCUUUUGUCUUACGCCAUUUGCUCAUUUUGUUAUUAAUAGGCACUGAAAUCAUGACCCUUAUUUCAUAAAUCCUUAAAGGACUGGUAAUGGGCUGAUAGUAUUCUUGAAACAUCUUUGAAACAGCCUCAGAUAAACAGGAACAAAAGAGAUGAUCAUCCAGGAGCAAACAUCUGAGAAGCAGGGUAAAUUACCUUGGGUGACGGUCCACUCUAUCAUGGCAGCAGUGCUUCUGGCUCCUCCAUACUUUACUGGUUUGGUACUGUAAGUCUCAGUGGACUAUUGCUGGGGGGUCCUCAGGUUUCGAAUGACUUACUGGAGUGUCUCUCAAAAUCUGUGGUGGAGAAUGACACAAGUCAUUUUUCAUAUGCGUCAUCCCUUGCUAUGUGGUGUGCUGCAUUUGUAGACAAUGACUAAAAGUGCUCCUUUCUAAGACAGACUUCACAAGAUCUAGGUGUUUCUGCUGAGCUGCAGAGGAUUUGCCAGGGUGCUCUGGAGCAAAUCACAGCACAAAGAUGCCCCUCACUUUGCAUGGGUACCAUCAGUGUGUGGUGCUGGCCUGCUACAGCUGCCAAAAUUCUGUUCUUCUGAGGUCUCGUUCUGGGAUAAACUUGUUAAAAUUUGGUUUGUCCACUCCAUACGACAGAGAGCAGAGAUCAUGAUCCUAAGCACAUUCCAUGGAUGUUUCCCAUUGUCUUGUUUUGGACAAAUAAUCAGAAAGGUAAUUUGUACCGAAAGUAUUUUGGGUUCAUUCUUUUUUUUUAUUUUAAGUUUGAUUUUUUAAAUGAUGCAUAGUAAUUUUUUAUGUGUUGUUAAUCUGAUGUGUACCACAAGAUAAAGGAAACUUUUGAUCUUACACUUACAGUUUAGCAAGUUAACACGUGUCAUCUGAGCUGUGGUAACUGCCCAAUUUUCUGUUCUUUGCCUGUGGCAGCUACUUAAUAGUUCCAUUUAACUGGCCCUCAGAGAAAGCACCUGCAGAGAUUUGGUGUACCGCAGACUGUCUCACCCCUUACAAGCAUGUGAAGGUGUGAGUUUCUCAAUUUGACCACCACAGUUGACCGCAUACUUGUAGUAUCUUGAAUUAUGGUGUAUAUAUUUGUACAGAACAUAUUGAAAGUCAGCUGGGAAGCUCCCCCCAGUUAUGAAGCACUGAACAUCUGCAGGAUGAGCAACUCACACUCUGGGAGAACAUAACUGUCAUAUGACUGCUAGAGGACAUGUUUUCAGUGGUAGCAUUAUACAUUUGUGGUCCCUGAGGUGAUGAUGUGGAGAGCCAAAAGUCUGGGGUAUGGUAAGGGAGUUGGCAUGGGCUCUAGGGGAGUGAAGUCUGACACUGCAGGUUUGUAACUCAUUCUAGAAAUUAAGAUGCACUAUUUUUGGAGAUGUUUGCUACAGAAAAACACCACACCUUGUCUGAAGUGCAAAGAUGGAAAAGAAAAGAGAAUGAGGUAAUAGGCAAGGGAAUGAUGGCAAUUGAAGUGCCAGUUGUGCCUUAAGGUGGCAUGAACAGGUCUAAGGAAGGGAAGGAAGGGGAACUGAAGGAAGUGAAUUAAGCUUUAUGUAAGAGCUGUGACUUCAGGCUUAUACCAGUAGCUGAAAAAUUAAUUUGUUGAACAAAAGUGGAUGACCAACCUGUUCCAAGGCUAUUUUGUGCAUUAAAAUUCAGGAAAAAAACAGUAAAAAGAAUGAUAAAAUAUUACUAAUAGUAAGAAUGUGAUGCUUUUCCAUCAACAUUACAUGUGAAAUAUAUGCCUGAAAGCGAAUUGUGGUGAUCAGAAAGUAGAAAAUAGACACUUGGAAGAGAGCUCUAGUUGAUGCACACUCAUAGAGAUGAACAAGAUGAGAAACUACUCUUAUCCCCACUCUUUUGGUGAGUUGCAGGCUGACAUGCCUAACAUUCCCCAAUCAGUGUACAGUUCUGUAAACUAAUUGAGAUGAUUCAGCUAUCUUGUGUUGCAGUGAUGCUCUUUUCCAUAUGUAAUGCUGAGGAUCUUCAGGUAGCAGUGACCAAGCUAUCUCCAGAUUUAGGAGCAGUGAUGACAGCAUUUAGUCAGGUGCAGAACUGCAUUAAUGCUUCAUUGCUGUCAAUGUCCAAACAGGACCUCUUGGUCUGAUGUGGGACAAUUGAAGCAUUGGGCCCAGCCAGCAUGGGUUCAUGAAAGGCAGGUCCUGCUUAACCAGCCUUGUCUCUGUCUGUGAUCAAGUGACCUGCCUGGUGGAUGAAGGAAAGGCUGUCAACAUAGUCUACCAAGAAUUCAGCAAAGCCUUGACGCUGUCUUCCACAGUAUUCUCCUGGAGAAGUUGGCAGCCCACAGCUUGGACAGGUACACACUUUGCUGGGUAAAGAAGUGGUUGGAGGGCCAGGUCCAGAGAGUGGUGGUGAAAGCAGUUAAAUCCAGCUCGCAACUGGUCAUGACUGGUGUUUCCCAGGGGUCAGUAUUAGAGCCCUGUCCUCCUCAGUAUCUUUAUCUGAUGAUGUGGAUGAGAAGAUUGAGUGCACCCUCAGUAAGUUAGCAGAUGACACCAAGUUGGAGUGUCAAUCGACCUGAGGGUAGGAAGGCUCUAUGGAGGAGUCUGGACAGGACAGAUAGCUGGGCUGAGGCUAAUGGCAUGAAAUUCAACAAGAACAAGUGUCAGGUCCUGCACUUUGGCCACAACAACUUCGAGCAACACCACAGGCUUCGGGCAGACUGUUGGGAAGACCGUGUGGAAGAAAUGGACCUGGGGUCUUUGGUCAACGCUCAGCUGAACGUAAGCUAGCAGUGUGUCCAGGUAGCCAAGAAAACCAAUGGCAUCCUGCCUUGUGUCAGAAGUAGUGCAGCCAGCAGGAGCGGAGGGGUGAUCGUCCCCUUUUACUUAUUACCUUGAGUACUGUGUUCAGUUUUGGGCCCUUCACUACAAGAAAGACAUUUCUCUGUGUCCGGAGAAAGGGAAUGAAGCUGUAAGGAGGCUGGAGCACAAGUCUUAUGGGGAGUUACUGAGGGAACAGGGAUUAUUUAGUAUGGAGAAGAGGAGGCUCAGAGGAGACCUUAUUGAUCUUUGCAAUGACCUGAAAGGAGGCUGUGGUGAGCUGGGGGUCAGCCUCUUCUCUCAGAUGACAGGGAUAAGAUGAGAGCUAAUGCCCUCAAGUUGUGCCAGGGGAGGUUCAGGUUGGAUAUUCAGAAAAAAUUUGUCUCCAAAAGAGUAGCCAGGUGCUGGAACGGGCUGCCCAGGGAAGUGGUUGAGUCAUCGUCCCUGGGAGUGUUCAAGAAAUGUUUAGGUGUACUGAGGGAUAUGGUUGAGCAGGGAAAUAUUGGUGGUAAAUGCGUGAUUGGAUUAAAUGAUCUUGGAAGUCUUUUACAACCUUGGCGAUUCUAUGAUCUUAUGAUUCUAUGGCCUCAAUCACAGUUUGGGUUCAACAUAGCUACUUCAGCUAAUUAAGAAUUAAAAAUGUGUGGAGAAAGCAAAGAAACAUUGCAUUCAGUCAGCACUAUAGUAAAAGGAAAAGUAAAGACUGUGUGGCCUUCAAGAGCUAAGCCCUGUAGCCCGCAGGACAAUCCUGUGUGUAGAAGGCAGUAGACGUGCAGCAGGAGGAAGCCUUGGUUGUGUUCUGAAUUUCUUGAUGCAUUUGAACAGUUGCCUUGACCAUACUGGAAUAAUUAAUGGGACUUGAUAUUUCUGAGUGUACUUAACUACUGAUUUAUGCAUUACCAUAAGCUCACCAUUGUCCAAAUGUACCUGUAGGGCCUCAGCUAAAGGCUUUGAAGUCAGUAUCAGUCUGAAGAGAAUGCGAGGUUGAUCAUGCCCUUAAACAAAUACUUCCGGAAGGCCCACUGUGCAUAUAGAGAAGUAUUUUCUUGCUAAGCUGACAUUUUAAAAUUAAACAUUUUUUUGGCUCCAGGCCUUAAAGGAAAUAGGACAAGUUUCUCUUCACUUAUUUUUUAAUGAUGCAAAAAAUAAGUUUAAGCUUCUUUUUAUUUUAAAGUGACUAUGUAUCUCUUUUCAGACUCUUCUAACUCAGCCCAACAACAACAAAUACCCUAAGCUCACAGAUGGAAGAGAAAGCAUCAGAAAGUACUGACUUAAAAUGUCUUUUAAAGUUUUAAGUUUGGAAAGCAGUGAAUGAAUGGAAACUCUUUUGCAACCAUAAGAACUCUUUUUGCAGUGGAUGCCAGUUUGUGGGUGUUUGUGUGUGUCAGAGCUUGUCACGUAGUUAUUGGGAUUAUAUUUUCCAUGCAUACUUAUGAAUCACUCAGAAAUAGAUCCUGGUUUCUGCUAUUGCUUUACUAUUUGUAAGCAUAAACUCAAUAAUUUGGACGAUUACAUUUCAGAAUGUCUAUAAGCCAAUUGCUUUAGUGUGUCACUUCUGACUGUUUAUGUGACAUGAUUGAUUAACUAUAUUACAGUGUAAGCUUUCAGCUUUCCUUUUGGAGAAUUAAAACUUUUAAGAAGUCCAAACAAUGAAUAUAAAAUUAAAUCAUCCAGAAUGUAACAGCUAAAGGAUCUGACUUAAUUCCUUUUUUUCAGUCUUCACCCAAUGGGAAGUGAGUGCUGUAUGUCUUCUAUGAAGUUGAAUAAACUUCUGCUCGUUUCAAUUAUGUUGCUGAAUCAAAAGACCAACUCCUAGGAACUGCUCACGAUCAGUUUAGCGCAGUGUUAGUAAGUACUUUCUUUGUCUUUUUUUUUUUUCUUUUUAACUACUUUUUGGAUUUAAUAACUUGAUAUUACUAUUUAUAGUUAUAUUUAAUAACUAUAUGACGAUUUAUUUAAUACCUUAUCUUGCAUAGGAUUCAGAAUCUGAGAAAAAAAAAAGAACUGUAUAUGUGUGCACUUUUUGUUACUAUUCUGUUACAACCAAUUAUUUCUAGUUCAACAAUUCUGUAAAACAGAUGGUACUAUUAAAACUUUUGGGGGAUGGAUACCAAAGGACCUUUUGAGGUGGUACGUCUUUGCAUGCCCAGCCUUUAUGUAUUGUCAACACCUGGGUGAUGCCUGAGGCAUGCCAACCAAUAAUUAUAUACCUUCAUUUUUCUUUCCUGACAGUCUGUCAUCAUUCAUUUUAACUAUGAGUUAAAGAGAGAUUCUUCAUGCCUACCCCUUCACCCUGUCCCACAUUCUACAGUAUCUUCUCCAAAAUCAUAUUUGUUUCACCAGCAGGUUAUAUAAUGGGGUUCACUACAACUGUUUUGCAUACGAAAGAAAGAAUCAUACAGUUCUGGAUUUUCUGAACUACAUAAGUGACAGCUGCAGAACAGAUUAUUUAAGCAACUCUAAUCCAGGAAGUUACUUGCAAUUAAUUUUUUUAACAUUAAAUUCCUAAUGAUCAUCAAGACAGUUAUUUUGAUGUUACUUUACAUAAGGUCAGUCAUGGUUUUCACCUUAAAGGAAGUCAAUCUUGAAACAGAAUUUGUAUGUAAUUCAUGCAGGGUCACAUCAGCAGUGGGUUUCUUUGAGAAACAAGGAGGCAUAAAACACUUGUGUCUUCAGUGAAUGAAAGUUGGGUUGGAAAUAGGGAGUUCACCUCUUCAAAUGAAAGUAGAGUUGAAAGACGGAAGCAAUCAGUAGGUAAUCUAGUCUGAUCUCUUGUAUAAUAUGAGCAGCAACUUCUGUAAUGAGCUUAAUCAUUUGCUAGUAAUUAAUGCAUAUGUUGCAUUUCACUCAGGUAGCUCUUACAGAAAAGCUUUCAGUCUUCAUGUGAAGGCAUUAAGAUGUGAGGAGACUACAUGUGCAUUGGUCUUUGCUCCGGAAAUUAAUCAUUCUUGCAGUUAAUUAAUAGAUAAUUUCCCCAUCUUAACUAACUUGUGCUUAGCCUUCCCUGGUGACUUGUUUUGCCUUUCAUGAUUUAUUAAAAUUGCUUUUAUGGCCACUAUUCUGUUACCAUGUAGAUAUUUUGUACUUUGUAAGCAAACCACCUCUCACUAUUGUUUUUGAAAUGUUGGAAAGAUUCCUUAGAAUCAUAGAAUCACCAAGGUUGGAAAAGACCUAUAAGAUCAUCCAGUCCAACUCUCCACCCAUCACCAGUAUUUCCCACUAAACCAUGUUCCUCAGUACAUCUGACCGUUUCUUGAACACCUAUAGAGAUAGUGACUCCACCAACUCCCUGGGCAGCCUGUUCCAGCGCCUGACCACUCUCUUGGAAAAGUAUUUCCUAACAUUGAACCUGAAUUCCCCCUGGCCCAACUGGUUUUCUUGGCCACCUGGGCAUACUGCUGGCUCACGUUCAGCCGAGUGUUGACCAAAGUCCCCAGGUCCGUUUCUUCCACACAGUCUUUCUGACAGUUUGCCCCAAGCCUGUAGUGUUGCCUGAGGUUUCUGUGGCCAAAGUGCAGGACCUGGCACUUGGUCUUGUUGAACUUCAUCCCACUGGCCUCAGCCCAGCUAUCCAGACUAUCCAGAUCCCUUCGUAGGGCCUUCCUACCCCCUGGCAGGCCUUAUUCCAUCCACAUAGGGAUUGAUUUGUUUGUUUGUUUGUUUAUUUAUUUGAGCUCUUAAGUGAUUUUCUUUUUUUCUGUACAUGUAGAACUUUGCAGAUGGUUGCAUUAUCGAUUGCAGUUUGAUAGCAUAUUCCUGCCUCUCUUCUCAACUUCAUAACUUCAUUCAUCAUUCAGCCAGGACAUGUGACAGCUGUACGUCUGAUUAAAUCUUUGACUAACAAAGCUAAAUAUGUGUCACAGCAGAACCAUCUGCUCAAGGUGAUUCACAGCUUUUUGAAAUUCGUCUAUGAGCCUUUCUACUCAAAGAAUCAAAGUUUUUUUUUUGUUGGUUUUUUUUUUUUGGUCAGAGUACACUUUUAAAUACACCCAGAUGUCUAGUGGUAGUGUGCAUAUUCUUCAUAGAAUCAUAGAAUCAUGGCUUAGGUUGGAGGAGGGCCUUAAAGAUCAUCUAGUUCCAGCAGCCCAGCCAUGGGCAGAGCUGCCACCCACCAGAUCAGGUUGCCCAGGACCUCAUCCACCCUGGUCUUGAACACCGCCAGGGAUAGGGCACCUAUAGCUUCUCCGGGCAUCAUGUGCCAUUGCCUCAUGACCUUUUGGGUAAAAAAUUUCUUUCUAACAUCUGAACUAAAUCUACCCAUUUUUAGCUUAAAGCCACUCUCCCUUGUCCUAUCACUAUCAGACCAUGUGAAAAGUCAGUCCCCCUCCUGCCUGUAAGCUCCCUUCAAGCACUGGAAGACCACAAUGAGGUAUCCCUGAAGCCUUCUCUUCUCCAAGCUAAAUAAGUCCAAAUCCCUCAGCCUUUCUUCAUAAGAGAGGUGCUCCAGCCCUUUGGUCAUCUUCAUGGCCCUCUGCUGCUCCAACAGCUCCAGUAUUUUUCUUGUGCUGGGGGCCCUGGGUCUGGACACAGUAUCCCAGAUGGGUACCUUGUGAGGUACAGCCUCACAAGGGCAGAGUCAAAGGCGACAACCACUUCCUUCUCCCUGCUGGCCACCUCUCUUUUGAUGCAGCUAAGGAUACAGUUGGCCUUCUUGGCUGCAAGCACACACUGCUGGCUCAUGUCCAGCUCUUCUUCCACAGGACCCCCAAGUCCUUCUCUGCAGGGCUGCUCUCAGUGAGUUCUUCUCCCAGCCUGUACUCAUAUCUGGGAUUGUCUCGAACCAAGCUAAACAACUUGCACUUGGCCUUGUUAAACCUCUUUAGAUUCUCAUAUGCCCACUUUUCAAGCAUAUCCAAGUCCCUCUGGAUGGUGUCCCUUCCUCUGUUGUGUCAACUGCAUCACUCAGCUUGGAGUCAUCCUCAAACUUUCUGAAGGUAUACUCAAUCCCACUGUCUAUGUCACUGAUAAAGAUAUUGAAGAGCACUGGUCUCAAGACAGAUCCCCAGGGGAUACCACUUGUGACCAGCCUCCACCUGGACAUAGAGCCAUUGAUAACAACUUCCCAGCUAUCACUAGUCAACCAAUUCUUUGUCUGCCAGAUAGUCCAGUCUUCCACUUUCAGUCCUUCCAUUAAAGGAUUCUUAUCCUUUAAUUCUUUGUGAUGUAAAUCCUACAUGAAUAUUUCAUUAAUAUCCCCUGGAUUAAUACCAGGAUUUAUGACCCCUAGUUACACAGGUCAUCUACUUGCACUUCUAUUGAGAGCUUUCACAAGAUUAAUGCUCUCUAGGCAUCUGAGUCUUUCUGCUAUCGCGUGAUGUAUGGCAGAUGAGUAUCAGCAAGCAAGGCUUUUCAGCUAAUUCUUAAGGAAUUCUUGGUGGAGAAUUUUCUGAAUCUUCUGUUUUUAAGAUAUUUAUCUCUUGUGGAUGGUGUUCAAGAUUCUUCUUAAUUACUUACAGACUGCAAAACGCUGCAUUGCCCUGUAGUUUCAUGCAUCAUCCAUUUUAUUGCCACAGCAGCUGCUCUUCUCAGUGACCAGGCCUUAGAUCUUGUCUAAGAACAAUUGCAGUGAACACUGUUCAUUUGCUUCCAUUGUAAUUUAUAAAUAAUAUGGGAAUGGUCCGUCCCCUGACUUAUAGGUGUGAUUUUCACUGACUUCAGAAACACUUGCAGCAAAUACAGUAAAUGCAGGGUAGAAUGAGAUAAUGUCCUCUAGUUGAUAAGUUGGUUGAAUGAAAGAGAUUUCUCUCUACAGUGCUUACCUUUCUCUGAUGGGACUUGAAGAUAUAGUCUAAACACAAUAGUUAAAUCAUGAACCUGUAGGUUGUGAAUAAAUAUAGGUAUGUCUGGACAUCCCUUGAUACGUGUAUUAUGUUACAGAGACUAUCAUCAGUGCUUUUCAGAAGGCUAGUCAUAUAUAGAUAAAAAUGAUUUCAGUGAAAAGCCAACAAUUUAGUAAUUAUUACUGAAAACAGUCCUCAGCAUGUUCAGGGGUGAACAAAGUCAUACAUAUGUCUACAGAAAAGUAUUUUAGUUCAGUUUGUAAUGUUUCUAUGAUUUCUUUGUAAGACUAGAAGCAUGUAUGCGUUUAAAGUGUCAUAUAACUUUAUUCAAUUAUGCUUGAUUGUUAUAAACAUAUUUUCUUGAAGUAUACUGAUAACAGUUAAACUGAUGUUUGUUAAAGAAAUGACUCAACCAAAAUGAUAAGAAUUGACACUACUUUUGCUACUGCUUUUAAUGCAUCAUCAACUAAAGGCACAAGAAAUGUAUCUUUGGUGGAAAGACAGUUCUGAAGAACAGAAAAAUAUCUGAGGAAAUCUCAUUCAAUUAACUGAAAACAACAAAAAUAAUGAUCCAGACAGAGGCACAUUUCAGAGAAAGAGUAUGCUUUUGGCUCUGAUUAUCCCUGCAUUGACUCAUACAGUUUAAGGGAAAUAUUAUGUCAAAGUAUCUUGUAAUAGCAGAGGAACAAAUAACUAGUGGUAACCAUAAAUGUUCAUGAAAACAAACAAACUUGUGUAUACCAACAUGUACAUAAUGGCAAACAAUAGCAGCUCUAAACAUUGCUUAAUUUAGUGCAGUACCUGAAAAGUCUUUUGUCCAAGAUGUGCUGAAAUUUUCUGGGCAACUUUAUACUUAUUACCCCCUGUUCUGACAUGUUUUAUGAAAAAACUACAGGAAAUUGUACGUAUCUUCUUUAUGCCAGCAGUCAGAAAGGACAAAAGACUCAACUUGCAGUUGAAAAACAUCAGAAAUGCAGAAACAAAUGGUGUUCCAUCACCCACUGUAUACAGUCUCUGUGCUGAACAGCCUAUAUUAGAAAUAGCAUGCACUAGCAAAUAUUGGCAUGUUAUUUCUUUCUUGACAGACUUGAGAAAAGUUUUCUGAAAUUGUCUUACAUAUUAAGAUGUUAAAUAAAACUAAAGUAGAUGUGAAUGCGCUAGCUCCUGUAUUAAAAGUGAUUUAGAUAUGAUUGAGUUAGUUUGAUCCAAAAACAAAAUUGUCCAGUAACAGCAUUAGUAAAUAAUGCCCAGAUCUUUAAACAAAAGAGGUAUUUAGAAACUGUUAAAUAGAAAAUAAAGUUUACUUAAUAACAGUGCAUUUAAUGGACCAAAAAAUAACUCUGUAAGUUAUAAAACAGCAUGGUCUGAAGCAUGUAACUCUGUAAUCUGAAAUCAGGUACAAAUAACAAAUAAAGGUUUUAUGCAGAUGGGUAAACUACAAAAUGUAAGUGCUAUGACAAUGUAAAUGGUACUUAGCAACAGCUGUCUUUUCUGUUCUAAUAUGCAUGAAGGUUUCAAAAUGUACCUUGUGAUAAAGAACAUAAUAUAUCAGCCUUGAUUAUAUCGUUCACCUCAGCUUCUUCCACCAGAAAGUGUGAUAAGGCUCAGAGAAUACAAUAGUCCAGUAUGUUCAAAUGCCUGGGUUUCCCGAGAAGUAUGCAAGGUGCAAAAUAAUGCCAAUUUUUAAUUGCAAGAAAACUAUUAGAUGAGAGUAAACACUGAGUUACAGGAGCCCAGUCACUGUCCAGAGUGUGGGAAAGCUCUGCCUUCUCUGAAAGACUCUGUCCAGGGGCAGUGGAGGUCUUCCUGACAUUAAAGACUGGUUUUAUAGGCGAUCAAAACUGAUUAACCAGAACAAGAUAAUUAUUUAUACAGAGAGAUUACUACUCUGUCAGAUAUCCCAUAUUAAGAAAGAAGUUUUGAGAACAAAUUUCCAUGUUCCUCUCUUCUUUUACAAAAUGAUUCUUAUAGAAGUCCAACAUUUAGAGUUAGUUAUUGUAACAGUAAUGAGACAGUAUUUCUAUGUUACGUCUGUAAUAUAUUUCAAAAAGUUUAGUUCCAGUUGGCUGGACGUGCUUCAUCACGUCUCAAAAGAGAAGGUGUUCCAAAGAGACUGUGGCUACAAAUAUUUCAGAUGUUAAAGCAAAAAGGAUGCAAGAUGAAAAGUGAAAGUGCUGAACACAACUGACCAAAUUAGAAAAUAAGAAAAAAAUGUGGGAAGUCAACAUGAAAGCAAGGAAAUAAAAGAUGCUGCAGUAUACAGAUCCAGGAAAAUAUUGCAGGCACUGUUUUAGAAGCAGCUGUAUUUCUUGAUGUGAAAUAUCUUUUGCUUUAAUACAACCAGUCUCUAUGCACUUGUACUUUAUUAAUAAUAUAACACUUAUGUUGAGUAGUAGAAACAAAAUAUAGAGGAAUUACAGAAAAUACUACUCCGAUUCAUAAAUUCAAUUUUUGUCUGUAGAAAAAAUACAUAGAAAUUUACCUGGGAAAGAUAAAUCUACAGGGACUCUUCAGAGUGUUUAGAAGAACAGAUUCUAAAUAGGGCGCCUCUGCGAUGCUGUGUGUAGUUCUUAAGGAUACCCUCUACUCUCACUGGCAGGAAUUACUGCUCUGCGCUAUGCAGAUGCUGGUGUUCUGAAAACUGUGGGUGAAGAUGGCAGACUUCAUCUUUCUUCCAGUCAUGGCAAUGGCUGUCAGGGGCUCAUUAUGGUUGUCUUCUGCACAGAGGCUUUAAGGGAAGAGUACACCUAUAUCAUCACUUUUCUUCCUGUGUACCAUGUAUAAGGUAUAGGAUUUCCCUUCUGCACUUCUGUGAUUUAAAAUUUCCUACAUAUUUCUGCUGAUAUGUGGAAUUGUUGCUACUUUAUUAUUAUUAUUAUUAUUAUUAUUAUUAUUAUUAUUAUUUUGUGCCAAGAGAGAUUUGUUCAUUCAACUAUCUAUCUACUAAAAUUUCACUGAAAUUCACAAAACUGGUGAUUCCUCUUCUUGGAUUUAGAGCUGGUAAAAGUGAUACAGAUUUUACAUUCUCAAUGCCCAUAUAUAAACUUUAAAUGUAAUGAACAAAUCUUAAACACAAAUUUACAUGUAAUUUACAUAGACACGGUUGAGUUUUAAUAAUAUAGUGUUGAGAGAUGGAAAAAAAUAUGUAUACAUUUUUAUUUUGGCAUAUUUUAUAUAUUUUAUUUUGGCUGUAAAGAAAAAAA
rnacentral:lncRNA from 1 species